CCUACGGGUGGCAGCAGUGAGGAAUAUUGGUCAAUGGACGAGAGUCUGAACCAGCCAAGUAGCGUGAAGGAUGACUGCCCUCUGGGUUGUAAACUUCUUUUAUAUGGGAAUAGAAUGUUCCACGUUUGGUAUUGUGUAUGUACCAUAUGACUAAGGAUCGGCUACCUCCGUGCCAGCGGCCGCGGUAAUACGGAGGAUCUGAGCGUGAUCCGGAUUUAUUGGAUUUAAGGGGAGCGUAGGUGGAUUGUUAAGCCAGUGGUGAAAGUUUGCGGCUCAACCGUAAAAUUGCAGUUGAAACUGGCAGUCUUGAGUACAGUAGAGGUGGGCGGAAUUCGGGGUGUAGCGGUGAAAUGCUUAGAUAUCACGAAGAACUCCGAUUGCGAAGGCAGCUCACUGGACUGCAACUGACACUGAGGCUCGAAAGUGUGGGUAUCAAACAGGAUUAGAUACCCCAGUAGUC
rnacentral:rRNA from 1 species